UGCACGUUGCUUGUGUCUGGGGCUCCAGGGAAAUUACGCAAUGCUUUCUGUCUCUGUCAAUAUCCCUGGAAUUUGGUGCAUAACAUUCUCUGCACUGAAGGCUUAAGUGUGUUGUCCAGUUCAGUGUGUGUCCAGGUCAUCUUGUCAGAAUACCGAAGACUAACCUAGUUAUUCUCUGCCUCUAACCCUCUAGUUCCAGAAUUUUAAAAACACAUAACAAACAAGGAGCACUAGGUGUUGGAAAUUUAAAAACAAAACAAAAAAACACCAAACCAGAAAUAAACAAAAAAAUCUAGUUCCAAGCUGCAUGUAGUGGAAGGAAAUUGCUUUCUUAGGGGAAGAAAACAAGGAACUAACAAGAACUACCUGGAAUUAAGGCAGAAGGAAGUGAAUCUGAGGCAGUGUGGUAUAGUAGAAAAAGCAUGCCUGCUUUCCAGUGCUAGCACUGCCUUCCGCCAGCUGUGUGAGCAUGAUCUAGAAGAAAUUUUGCAAAGGUUCACAAGAUACUUACAUGAUCCAUCCAGUGUAGUGCCUGGCACACAGAAAGUGCUUGGGCGAAUUUCCUUCACCUACCCCAACGGGUCUCUCAAAUGCUGUUGUAUCUUUGGCUGGGCCUGACUCAGCUGGAAUGGCUCCCAAGGGGCCUCCAGUCGGUGAGCAUGCUCUCAAUCAGCUCAGUGGUGCAGUUCCACCCUCGAGCCACUUAGCACAGACUAACACACAUGGCGUCUAGAAGCCUGUAUUGGCUUUUAUAGUACUGAUAAUGCCAGAGUUCAGAGAGAGAGUCGUGAUGGACGUAACUGCAGGCACAUCAUCUCUCUCUCUCUGACCCUUGUCCUGCCCACUUCUAAGAUGAGAGAUUAGGCUAGAUUUACUCAGAGGGUUUGCCUGUAAGUGGCUUAUAACUCCUGUUACAUGUGGGAGAUGAAAUGUGGAGAUAAAUGAUACAUACAAUAAAGUGAAGAGAAGUUAAGAGCCAUGGGCUCUGGGAUCUGGCUCCUGAAACAGAAUCCUGGCUCUGCUGUUUACUGUGAUACCUUGGGCAAGGUAUCCAACUGCUCUGGGACCUCAUAGAUUAGGUAAAAGGAUUAAAUGAGAUGAUAUAUGGAAAAUAUCUCAAGUUAAUAAGUUCUUGGCAAAUGUGAACUAUUAUGAGUAUUAUGAACUAUUAUGAUGAUGAUUAUCAUUAGCAGCAUUAUAAGUGAGGCACGGCUAAAACCCCAUGGGAAGCCUUGUGGGAAUAGUAACAUUGAGCUGGGUCUUAGACAUUCCAAAACAAAGGAACAGUGUGAGUGAAAACAUAGGACUGGAAAUCACAUGAUCAGCACAGCCCUCCCAGGAGGGUGGGGAUGGUAAAUCCGUCGUGCCCAUUUUGUAGAUGGAGCCUUCAAGGCAUUGGAAUUUAUUGUCUUCUCCCUCAGAAAGAGGAAAGGGGGAACUUGUUCAUGAGCCUGGCCUAGCAUCUUCCACAGUGGCACCAUGGGUGCUCCCUCUUUCUCAGUGUCACAUUCGCAUGAGUUACUGCUCAGGGUGUCAUGCCACCUCCUCCCUAAUGUGCAGCUGUGGUGAUUUGCAACCCCAGCCUUUAAAUGGCAUUUACUUUCAACGCCCACAUGUUCAAUUAGAACUUUUUAUUACUCUCAGCUCUACUCUCCUGCAUUUAGGCUUCUCCCUGCACCUCCAUUCCUGUGAUCAAAACAGUGAUCUGAGAAAGGAAAAGUGUUUUUAACAGGUGCUGACACGUAGUAGGUGGAUGCUUUUCUUUCAGAGAUCCUAACACAUAUACCUGAGGUUAUUCAGGAUUUCCAGUUGCUGUGAGCCAGCCUCUGUCUCCCUCAGAUCCCAGUUUAUUCCCCAAGUGCCUGUUAAAGCACUGGGUGCAUACUGGGUGCUGAAUAGACAUUUGUUGAUUGUCUGGGCAGGUGAGCAGGUGAGCAGCCUGCACAGAUGCUGUGUUCAUUCCCACCACUCUUGUUCCUCUCCCCUGUUGCUUUCUUUUCCCGCUCUGUCCAGACUCUCAGAUCCCUCCUUCCAGACCCAGGUCCGGCCCUUCAGCUCUCUCGCCAUCACCCUUCACAGCCAAUCCAUUAGUAAAGCUGCCACGUCUGCCUCCAGUCUCCAUCCUGAAUCAAUCCACUUCUCUCCAUGUGUUAUUUCCCAUCAUAGCACCCAGUUUAUUUCCUUCCUAGCCCUUAUCACAGUCUGUAAUUACUUUUAUUUAUGUCUUUGUUUCCUUGGUUUGUGUGUCUCAUACAUUAAAAUGUAAGCUCCGUGACGUAAGGACAUUGGCUCGUUCUCCGUGUCUCCUCAGCACCUAGAGCAAUGCCAGGCACAUAAUGGACACCCGGUGAAUAUUUUAAACAUUGUUGAAUUAAACCCUACCCUUGCAUGAAUUUAAAUUGGCAAACGUUUACUGUGACUCUCCUCAGGGCUCGGCACAGUGCUAAUACUGUGCUACUAAGGUGUCACACAGCACCUGCCCUCAUGGAGCUUAUGGUCUUCUGGGGAACAUAGAUGUAGAAAUGACCAACCAUAAUCAAGCUAAGUGAAAUACACACUCCAACAACUACUCAGCUGGCAUUGCUGGGUGCCAAGCUCUGUAUCCAGUACUAGAGAUACAAGGAAGAAUAAAUAAGCAAGAUCCCUAUUCUUGAGGGUUCAUGGUCUAGCUGGGAGAGAUACUCGAAACUAACUAUGAUGUGCUAGGUGCUGUGUUAAAGUUGUGAACAGCGUUAAGGGAGUGAUAAGGGGGCAGUAAUGGAGGCACAGGCCAUACCAAGGAAUCCCAGGGGAGGAGAGGCUGGUCCCAGGACUUGGAAUGGUGUCCCAGAGGGAAAGGCACGUCCCAGGCAGAAGGAGCAAACGUCCAACACAGGACAUCAGUGGCCUUCAUAUGGACUCUGCCACAUCAGUGGAGGCCAAGCGGGGGUGAGGGAGGCUGGAGCAUUGGGUGGGGUUGGGAGUAUUGCUGGGCAAGUCUCUCGAGUUCUGUUGGGUACACAGUGAGUUUGGGUUACGGGUAGCACCUGCAUCCCUUUGUUGGCCAGCAGAGAGUAGACAUUCUCAUUGGGGCGGGAGAGGUGCUUGUUUGGACAAUUUGAAGUCAGUAGUAUGGAGGUGAUAUUUAAAGCCAGGAGAUUAGAUGUCAUUGCCCAGGUCAAAGAAGUCCUCACAGGACGCUGACCACUGAAAACAAACAAGAGAAAGUGUUCUCUCCAGAUGGAAGGUUAAGGUUAUAAUAAAGGGCUCUCGCUGGCCCCAGGAAGCCCAUCUGCCUGCGGUGUUGGGCGGUGGAGCUGUGCCACAGGCUGCCUCUCAGCAGCCCCUGAAAGUGGUGCAAUGAGCAAGCUCCGAGCAGUGCUGGGGUUGCAAAGGGGUGAGGCUACCGCAGGGCUGGAUAGGGGUGGCGUCUGGUCUCUGUUCAGGCCCACCUCUUAAAAGCCUUCACGCCCUCCCCCUCCUGCCUCCACCCUUCAUUCCAUCACAAUGCACGAAAAAACAAAGCCUCACAAAGAAAGCCAGCUCAUCAGUCUGUCCUCUUUGAUUUUAAUUUUGUUUUUCAGUUUGGGUUGCUUCCUUUUUUUUUUUUUUAACGUGCUAAUUAGAUGCAAGCUUCUUUCUUUGAUUUUAUGUCCUAUAUAUUUCCUAAGUUUUGCUGGCAGGAUGACAGCUGAUGUAUCCCUUGAGGUCUCAGGAAAACGCUGAUGAGGCAAGCCCAGCAGGGGACUCUUCCCGUUAUAUUUCAGUCCCCUUUCUCACGAUCUUCCUCCCUCCUUUUCUGUUGGGGGUGCCAAGAGAGCUGGGGAAAAUUGAUGGCUCACUAAAGUCCCUUGGUUUGCAGACUGCUUACUCAGUGCUCCCAAAGUCCAGCUUUCCCUGAACUCGCAGCAGCUCUGGCCUAAGGCCUCUGGUGCCCGCCUAGGGGACGGUGGUCUCUGUGCCAGAGAAGGACCACGCGCUCUGAAAGGGCAGUGACAGUCGUCCUGGCUUUUACCUUCUGGUGCCUGGCCCACGCCUGGCGCAGAGAAGGGGCUCAGCUAAUGCUUAUUGAGGGUACUGCUGAGGUGGUGCUUCAGGCUUCUUUGUGCUGUUCCAGAAAUCCGGGACCAGUAGGUAGAGUGGUCUCUCCUGAGCACGUCCUCUGUGCCAGGCUUUUAAUGUAUGUUCUCUGGUUCUCACGAUGGUCCUAAAAGCAGGAUUACAGUCUCCAUUUUGCAGAUAAGGUAACCAAGACUUGUGGUUAAGGUUAAGGGAUGUUACCCAAGUCACUAUUAAUGCUGGAAACUGGAUCCAGACUCAGUCGGUCUUCCAUCUGGCAGAAAGGAGAGCUCUAACUGUACCAAUUGGCUGAUACACUCCUACUGCAUUUUAAGAAAGAAAAUUCAGGGCAUCCACCUUUACAGAGUACCCACUGGCAUCACAGGGCACUAGGUGGGCUCCUUAGAUGAGUGAGACACUUAGGAGGCCCUGUCCCCAGGGCAAUUCAGUGCCAUCACAGGUGAGAUAAAUAAGCACAACACAAAGCAGAUUGAAGUCAGUGCUAAGGUAUGGAGUGAGACUCAAGAAAGCACAGUUAAUUCUGCUGGAGAUUAAAAAGGAGCUUGAAGAUCCAGAGAGGCUGCACAGAGGAGGAGGUGCUCGGGGUGUUUUUUUUUUAAUUGUGCUAAAAUAUGCAUAGGAGUCACCAUUUUAACCAUUGCAGCUGUCACCACCCCCUGUCCGUAGAACUUAUUUUCAUCUUGCAAAACUGAAACUCUGUACCCAUGAAACACUUACUCCCCAUUCCCUCCUCCCCCAGCCCCUGGCAGCCACCCUUGUAUAUUCCGUUCCUGGGAGGUUGAUGACUGUAAGUAAGGAGAUGGCUUCCUGAAGCCCGUGAAGGACCUCCAUGUGCAGAUGCAGAUGUGCACUGAGUGGUCCUGUCCUUGGAUAUGGAGUAGGCACUGUGACCUGGGAAUACUUCGUAUAAAUACUUGUGCCAGGGGUUAGCCUGGAAGCCUCUGGUGAGUCUCCUGGAUGUUUUAGUCACUGGUGAAAGUUGUUGGAAGAUCAGGUGGUGCUGGGCUGUUUGGCAGAGGAAAGCUUAGAGGAUUACUGACUCAAAACUCUUGUCACUGGUGGUGAAAAGACUGAGCCAAAGACUUCAGAAUGCUUUCAGAGAUUGGCUCCCGGCCCUUUGAUUUGCUUGUGUUCUUUAUGGCUUGAAGUCUUCUCUCAGAAGCUCAUAAACACGUAUUUCCAUAUUGAGUUCAGCUCUUGGUAACCUGAGCUUUGCCUCUGUGAUUUGAAAGCUGCAGAAGCUGAUAGGGUUUCUCUUCCGGUGACACGUUGAUGUGUGUGACUUGCACCAGGCCGUGGCUGCUAUGGCCUCUAGGGUUGGGAGGCAGGAAAGGACCCCGGAGGGGCUGUUUAACCUUAGGCAGCUACUUGCCCUCUCCCUAAGCCACAGUGUCUAUAAGAUGAGGGUAAUCUGCCUCAAAAGGUUGCUGUGGGAAUGAGAUGAGGUGCUGCAGGUAAAGUGCCUACAUGUUGGCACGUAAUAAGUGCCUGAUAAUGGUAGCUACCGUCACCGUUGUGAUUCACAUCCCAGCUCACGCAGGAAUAAGCAGAGCUGAGAGGCACAGGCCAGCAAGAAUUCUGGCUCUCUGUAACUUGGGGUAAGUUAGUAGAUAACCGGUUUGAGCCUUCCUUUACUCCUCUGUAAGAAACAAACCGAAAGUGAAUACUGCCCCAAGGAAGGCUGAGGUUGAGAUGCAGUUGGGGGCCUGGGACAGAAUACUUGCUCAGUAAAUGCAGGUUCCUUCCUUCCCUUCCUUGGCCUAAUCCUUUCACCAGUGCUGGCAGGAAAGCCCAUGGACCAGCACCCAGGCCAUACUCCUCAGGGCCUGGUGGGGGUGGAAGGGGUAGGUGGUGCUUUUUCAAGCAGCUGAAAGGUCUGUGGGAAAAUGGUCUAUAGGGAUGUGACCCUGUUAGCGCUGUAAGCAAAGGGUAAGUUUCCUUCUCCUCCUCCUUUAAGUAGGUUUCAUUUUAAUCAGAUCCCUGAUGAAGCUUAUAUCCCCAGUUGCAGCCCCAGCACAACAUCCUCCUCCUAGAGAAGUGACAUUAGUCCCUCCACACGCAUCCUUGUCGUUAAGGACUCUCUGUUAGACCUCAAGGAUUUUACUUUCCCAGUUUCUAUUUUGUGAUUAUUUCUAUGUCUUCAAGGUUUUCGGUGUAAAAAUAUUGGCGUUCCUCUUCUCCCCACUCGCCCUUCCUCCUGCACUUUUUCAAGGGUGAGUGUUUAAGGCUUAAGGUCCAGGGAUCUGAACCAGGCUUGUGAGCGCUGGUCCCAGUCUCCGUCCUCAAAGACAGUCCUUCCCCAUCCGCCAGCCCGGGUGUCCCUCCCUCUUCCUCUUACCAAAAACAGAACAGCUUGUAUUCCAUGUCUGAAUAGUAAACCUGCUGUCUAAAGUUUGCUUUAAUAUUUAUGCGUUCAGCACUGCUGCCUGUUUUUGAUCUCCAUCAAAGCUUUUAUUGUAAGAGCAUUUGAAAAUGCUGGGGAAGUCGAGAAGGGAGUCUAUGUGUACACCGUCUUUCUCACUCUCCAACCCGACUCACGCUCUUCCUGUCUCCCCUCUCCCUCUCCCCUACCCUGAAGUUCUCCCUUCAUCUAGCGUCUCUCUUUUUACUGCAUUCUCUCCCUUUCUUACACACACACACACACACACACACACACACACACACACGUGCGCGCGCGUGCGCACAGAGCAAAGAGGACUCUUUCCCGAGACCUCUGGGAGGAAUCUGUUCAAUAUUUAUAAACUGCUGCAGCAGCUUUAAUAACCAGAGGAAGCUGGCACCACCAAGGUCUGCUCCAAAUAGGAUUCUACUCUGGAAACAAAGAAUGAGUUCGGGUAGGGGGUAGAGGGUGAGAGGUGAGGUACACAGUUGGUAGCAGCUGCCACGGCCAGUGGGAGAGCACCCGGGGCUUGUCAGACCCGGUGGGCCUGGCCCUGUGGCUGGCUUGCUGCGGGACCCUGGCCGGUCACCUGUCCAUCCAGUUGCAGUACAUUUCUGAGAGGCCUGCCAGCCCUGACACUCAGUGACCUGGCAUGAAGGAGCAUGGCCCCAGCAGCCCACUCCACAUCUGUUCUGGCUGCUGAGGCCCCUUUACUCCAGGACAUUCCCUCCAGAGCCUUACCUUUUUUUUUUUUUUAACAUCUUUCUUGGAGUAUAAUUGCUUUACAGUGGUGUGUUAGUUUCUGCUUUAUAACAAAAUGAAUCAUCUAUACAUAUACAUAUAUCCGCAUAUCUCCUCCCUCUUGCAUCUCCCUCUCACCCUCCCUAUCCCACCCCUCUAGGUGGUCACAAAGCGCUGAAGAGCCUUACCUUUUGUGAGGACGUUGUAGCCAGACGCCCUGCCACGGCUGGGCUGCUUUGGAGAUUUUUUCCCCAAAGGAUGGGGAACAGGCAGGGUAAGAUAACUGCCUAGGUAAGAGGAUGCCACUUUGGGGACCGGCUCCCCAGCCCCACCCCCAUGGCUUUUGACGUGCCUUUUUCACUUCUGACACAUGUUCUUGGUUUGAAUAUCAGUUCCUCUACCAUCCUAGACUUGGGCAGGUUGCUUCAGUUCUCUAAUAUGCCUCAGUUUCCUCAUCUCUAAACAGAGGUGGUGCUCUUUGCCUUAUAGGAUUGCUGCAAAGAUUAUAUGAGACAAUAUAGAUAAAUGUCUGGCACGUAAACAGUGUUCACCACAUGUGAGGUCCCAUUCCACUCUGUACAGGAUAGCCCCUCUUCCAGAUCCUACUAACUUCCUUCACAGCCCAUCUCCAGAGAGCAGGUAAUCUGACUGUUUCCUCCUUCCCCACAUGUGGAGCAACAGAGGAGACUUGUCCAUUGGGUGAGUGCUCUGUGUACAGCGGUGGCAUGUGUUUUUCUAAGGCCUUUGGAGGGGUGAUUCAGCAGGGGAUUGAUACAAACUUUGGGCCUCUAUUCUGCGCAUCCCUAGAAAGAGAUUAGGUCCCUCCAGGGAAGUUGGCUUUACUUGGAAAAAAAUCACUGCCCCAAAGGAUCAGACUGUUUCUCCACUUCCCUCUCUCCUGGGUCUGAGAAUACAUUGGAACAAAGUGUUAGUUCAGUCCAUUAAGACUCUUGCUUUCAGACCAUGCCUCUGAGGGUAUUAAAUGCUAUAAUGGUCAUUUCUGUCUCUCCUGGGGCAGCGGCUAGAUCAUUCACAUGUGAGUAAGAGAUACCACUUACAUACAGCCCCUAGCCUUCUCCCGCAGCCCAGUUUCUGUUCUCCCAUCACCCCAGCCCUCCCUUUAAGGAGACUUAAUAGAAGGGAUCACAGCCAUUUGCUGUUGGAGGUGAUGGAUGGGCCUAACAGAAGAGGAUGAUUUCCAGGGGGAGACACACAGCUGGCACAUGUCUGAAUCCCAAGUCCCGUUUUCCGGCACAUGUCCAAAGUAAUAAAGAGGAUGGAGGAAAAAUGAAGAAGUGGCAGGGGCAAGGCCACCCCAGGCAGGGAGCUGGGGGCAGACCCGCAGGCACUCAUUCCUGAGCCACUGCUUUGAGAGCUUAUUCACAGCACCAGACUGGUAGUUGGCUCUCAGCCAAGCUCUGCUGGGAAUUUAGCUGAAAGUAAGGCGGAAGCCCCUACCUUCAUGACGCUGUCAGUCUAGAGGGAGAGAGGGGACAAGUAGAAGAUGAUCUAGAAGUCAGGCCUGCGGUGGAGACAGAGGCUUGAGGACAGGAACAGGAGUCAGAGGUGAGCGGGCGGGGCUUUGCGGAGAAGGUGUCCUUGAAGGAUGUGUGGUGUUUCUCUGAGAGAGAUGUUGCUGGCCUGAGCAAAGCAGGCUCAGGGAGGGAGCUAGCGUAUCUUGAACAUCUGUUAUUAUAGGUUCUUUACAUGCAUUUGCUGAGGGGGAGACCACGCAAGGCCACCUAGGAUUGUGAGUCAGAGUCAGGAUACAAACACAGCCCACAGUGUUGCACCAUCUCCUGUCUGAGGGCGGGGGCAGGGCACGGUCAGCGCACAGAGGAUUUGGCUCUCCGUCCCCCGUCCCCGUCCACGGUGCUCUGGGAGCCACCACAGGAAACCCAGGGCCCCAGUCACCACACAGGCCCUGCACUCUCAUCCCUAAGCUCCACACAUCAUUUCUGUGCCAUAUCGCACCCCUUCCCGCCUCCUAAAACCAGCUGACCACAUAAUCUGGGGGGGCCAGGACACUUUUGAGAAUAAAAUGGAGGUGUGUUAAGUACUCUGUUGGGAUAACAGGGGAAACGGGACCAUAUGUUUACCCACCUUACAACUCUUUGAUUAGGUUCUGUCAUCAGCAUCAUGUCCUGUAUUCCCAUCCUCUUUAGGCGUAUUUCCUUUAUCUUCCUGCUCUAACUAAAACUGUCUCUACCGGGGAUGGGUCCUCUCAAGUGGUACCUACUUUCUCCCACAUGCCUUUUACCACUGGAGACGGAGGAGGGGCCUUCCACGCUCCUCCUGGGCGUCUCUAGACCAUUCUUUCUCCCUCCCUCUUUCCAAAAAACACCCAUUUGUUUCAAUCUCAUGUCAGUGGACUGUACCGCAGCCCCCCCCUUCGUGGUGCAGACACCUGUUCCCCUUAUUCCCUGGAGGAAUUCCAAGCUCCCUGUCACCCUCUCCACUACCCUGUCGUAUUUCUUAGCAACUUCACUAUCCACAUCUCUUUCUCUCACGCCCCAUUUCCAGUCUCUCAGUAAAUCCUGCUGGAUCCACCUUCAGAAUACAUCUAAAAUCUGAAGACUUCUCACCUCUACCAUGACCUCCUUGGACCAAACCACCAAUCAAAUCACAUCUCCUUCCUUCUGCCCUUGCCACCUUAAGGGUAUCUUCCGCACAGCAGCUAGAGUGAGCUGGCUAAAGU